CCUACGGGAGGCAGCAGUGGGGAAUAUUGCACAAUGGGGGAAACCCUGAUUCAGCGACGCCGCGUGAGUGAAGAAGUAUCUCGGUACGUAAAGCUCUAUCAGCAGGGAAGAAAAUGACGGUACCUGACUAAGAAGCCCCGGCUAACUAAGUGCCAGCAGCUUCGGUAAUACGUAGGGGGCAAGCGUUAUCCGGAUUUACUGGGUGUAAAGGGAGCGACGAAGGGAGAACAAGUCUGGAGUGAAAUCCCGGGGCUUAACCCCGGAGCUGCUUUGGAAACGGUGCGGCUGGAGUUCAGGAGGGGUAAGCGGAAUUCCUAGUGUAGCGGUGAAAUGCGUAGAUAUUAGGAGGAACACCGGUGGCGAAGGCGGCUUACUGGACUGUAACUGACGUUGAGGCUCGAAAGCGGGGAGAGCAAACAGGAUUAGAUACCCUUGUAGUC
rnacentral:rRNA from 1 species